rnacentral:rRNA from 1 species
UACGUAGGGCGCAAGCGUUGUCCGGAAUUAUUGGGCGUAAAGAGCUCGUAGGCGGUUUGUCGCGUCUGCUGUGAAAUCCUCAGGCUCAACUUGGGGGCGUGCAGUGGGUACGGGCAGACUAGAGUGCGGUAGGGGAGACUGGAAUUCCUGGUGUAGCGGUGGAAUGCGCAGAUAUCAGGAGGAACACCAGUAGCGAAGGCGGGUCUCUGGGCCGGAACUGACGCUGAGGAGCGAAAGCGUGGGGAGCGAACAGG